UGUAGCAGAAAACGAGAAGGGUAUGUCUGCAGAGCCGGAGGCUGCAGGAAGAGGGCUGCAGGAAGAGGGCUGCACGAAGAGGGCUGCACGAAGAGGGCUGCACACUUCCGGUCGCACAUUUAGAGCAUUUUUAAGAAAAAGUAAUGUGACUGAGGGCUAUCCACCAGGUCAUGAGCAUCCACACUGGUCUACAGAUCUACAGCCUUGGUCUGGAUCCUUGGGAACAUCUACAUCUGAUGUAGGCUGAGAGCUAAAGAGAAUAUGAACAUUCAGCUGGGGUUGUCUGAGGUGUCUUCAUCCAGUCCAUGUGAAGAAGAGCAGUACUGGAUGUCCUCCUCAUCCACUGCAGUGGGAAUGACCGGAGGAUGUCUCAAACUUCAUCGCAGCAUUCAUGGAAGACUCGGACCACCUCCACCUGCAGUAUCAGACCAUGGAAAUCAUGCUCCUUAACAUCAUACAGACAUGUGGGGAGCAGGCUGGUAUCAAUCCAGAGAGGACUGACAGGCUCACAGUUCUCCAGUGUUUUAUCUCUGAUCUCUCCUGGACAGUGAAGCUCAAGAUCACUCCUUGGGAGGAACACAUCCAUGAAUGAAUAGAUGCUGAUUUGAAUCUGGCUCUAAAGAACUUCCUGUAUAAAAAGAAAAAAACUAGAAUGCAAUGCUGGUUCUUUGUAUUAUUUCCUUGGGGUCUUUGUUAUUUUAUCAUUGCUAUUUUUUUUUUUUUUUUUUUUUUACAAUACAAUGGUGCAAACAUUUUGUUUGACUCUUCCUAUAUUUAAUUCAGUCCCCUUUUGUUUAAUGUUUUCUUUUAAUGCUCUUGCAACUGUGUGUUCCUGAACCAACUCAGUGAGAAGAUCUUCACAGCAUCAUAUCGUCAUGUCAACAUGCAAGUGUCAUUUUCUUUCUGCAAAAUAGGUGAAUUUAGAAAUUACAUUUGUCUUCUUAAAUCCAAUGUGAUUCUAAAUUGAUCACCGCUCUACCAGCUGCUUCCAGUGACAAUCAUGGUUAAUCAUUAUCGGUUAUGGUUUGCUCUAUAGCUUUGUUUGGGAACUGGAGGUCAAUGAUAUCAGAGUUUACAACUUCUGAUUAUAAGACUUAGUGCAAAUAGAAUUUAAAAAUUUAUGAGGAUUCAAUCUGAAACAAUCCCGAUAAAAGUCUUUCAGAUGGCCUAAUCUGAAAGAUAUGAGUGGUGUGUAUGAUAAACAAGUGCAAUUUUUAUCAUAAAGUGGAAUUUAUGUAAUACAUGUGCUAUUACGCUACAGGAAACUGAACAGGAAGUGGUUAACUGAAGAUGCUGUCCAUGCAGUAUCCUU